rnacentral:rRNA from 1 species
UACGUAGGCAGCAAGCGUUGUUCGGAGUUACUGGGCGUAAAGAGUGCGUAGGCGGUCUUUUAAAUUUGGUGUGAAAUCUCCCGGCUCAACUGGGAGGGGUCUUCGGAUACUGGCAGACUUGAGGAGAGCAGAGGUGAGUGGAAUUCUCGGUGUAGUGGUGAAAUGCGUAGAUAUCGAGAGGAACACCAGCGGCGAAGGCGGCUCACUGGGCUCCACCUGACGCUGAGGCGCGAAAGCGUGGGGAGCGAACAGG